AGUGAACGCUGGCGGUAGGCCUAACACAUGCAAGUCGAACGGCAGCACAGAGGAGCUUGCUCCUUGGGUGGCGAGUGGCGGACGGGUGAGGAAUACAUCGGAAUCUACUCUGUCGUGGGGGAUAACGUAGGGAAACUUACGCUAAUACCGCAUACGACCUACGGGUGAAAGCAGGGGAUCUUCGGACCUUGCGCGAUUGAAUGAGCCGAUGUCGGAUUAGCUAGUUGGCGGGGUAAAGGCCCACCAAGGCGACGAUCCGUAGCUGGUCUGAGAGGAUGAUCAGACACACUGGAACUGAGACACGGUCCAGACUCCUACGGGAGGCAGCAGUGGGGAAUAUUGGACAAUGGGCGCAAGCCUGAUCCAGCCAUACCGCGUGGGUGAAGAUGGCCUUCGGGUUGUAAAGCCCUUUUGUUGGGAAAGAAAUCCAUCUGGUUAAUACCCGGGUGGGAUGACGGUACCCAAAGAACAAGCACCGGCUAACUUCGUGCCAGCCGCCGCAGUAA
rnacentral:rRNA from 1 species